rnacentral:rRNA from 1 species
CGCAGCAGGCGCGAAACCUUCGCAAUGCGCGAAAGCGUGACGAGGUUAAUCCGAGUGACUUCCGCUGAGGAGGUCUUUUGUCAGCUGUAAAUAGGCAGGCGAAUAAGGGGAGGGCAAGCCUGGUGUCAGCCGCCGCGGUAAUACCAGCUCCUCGAGUGGUCGGGGCGAUUAUUGGGCCUAAAGCAUCCGUAGCCGGUUCCGUAGGUCCUCUGUUAAAUCCAACAGCUCAACUGUUGACCUGCAGAGGAUACCGCGGGACUAGGAGGCGGGAGAGGCGGACGGUACUCCGCGUGUAGGGGUAAAAUCCUUUGAUCCGCGGAAGACCACCAGUGGCGAAGGCGGUCCGCCAGAACGCGCUCGACGGUGAGGGAUGAAAGCUGGGGGAGCGAACCGGAUUAGAUACCCGGGUAGUCCCACCCGUAGACGA